rnacentral:lncRNA from 1 species
CUUUCUUAGAAAAAUAGUUUCUUUUUUUUUUUUUUAUAAAGAGAAAGAUAGCAUGCUACUAAUUUUCUUUAUUUCGUUUAGAAAUAAAUUUAGCUGAAAACGAAUACCAAUUGCAAAGUUCUUUGCCACUUACGCUAGGAACAGUCGAUGAGUAAAAAAUAGUUAAAAAAAAUUUUACCACGCUUACUCCUAACUAACUA